AUUGGCGGUUACAUGAUAACUGUUAUGGGAGUCGUUGCCUAUGGAGAAGCAAAACGGAGACUCAGAUAAGCGAUCCUUGACAUUUACCAAAUUCUUUGUUUUUGAAGGCUUAAGUAUUUUGUUAGUGAGAUUAUGUGCACGUAGAUUCGUAGCGAAUAAUGUUUUAGCAGAGAGAGAGAGAGAAUUCAUUGUGAUGGUGUAUUAGAGAAAGAAAGAGAAUCCAUUGUGGUGGUGUAUUAUUAUGUAUACAAGCAACUCCUUUUGUACCAGAUUCUAUCCUAAUUAUUCAUAGAGCUAAUGUAUUUCCGGUCUCUCCGGUUCAUUCCAA
rnacentral:lncRNA from 1 species